UACGUAGGGUGCGAGCGUUAAUCGGAAUUACUGGGCGUAAAGCGUGCGCAGGCGGUAAGUUAAGUCUGAUGUGAAAGCCCCGGGCUCAACCUGGGAAUUGCAUUUGAGACUGCGUAGCUAGGGUGCGGAAGAGGGAAGCGGAAUUUCCGGUGUAGCGGUGAAAUGCGUAGAUAUCGGAAGGGACACCAGUGGCGAAAGCGGCUUCCUGGUCCAGCACCGACGUUCAGGCACGAAAGCGUGGGGAGCAAACGGG
rnacentral:rRNA from 1 species